rnacentral:rRNA from 1 species
UACGGGGGGGGCAAGCGUUGUUCGGAAUUACUGGGCGUAAAGGGCGCGUAGGCGGCCUUCUAAGUCGAACGUGAAAUCCCUCGGCUUAACCGGGGAACUGCGUCCGAUACUGGAUGGCUUGAGUUUGGGAGAGGGAUGCGGAAUUCCAGGUGUAGCGGUGAAAUGCGUAGAUAUCUGGAGGAACACCGGUGGCGAAGGCGGCAUCCUGGACCAACACUGACGCUGAUGAGCGAAAGCCAGGGGAGCAAACGGG